CAAUCAGAUUUUAGACACUGGGGGU
rnacentral:piRNA from 1 species